UGCAGAGGUCCCAAGCGUUGUUCGGAUUCACUGGGCGUAAAGGGUGCGUAGGUGGUUAGGUAAGUCCGAUGUGAAAUCUCCAGGCUCAACCUGGAAAUGGCAUUGGAUACUAUCUAGCUUGAGGAGUGGAGGGGGGACUGGAAUUCUCGGUGUAGCAGUGAAAUGCGUAGAUAUCGAGAGGAACACCAGUGGCGAAGGCGAGUCCCUGGACACUUCCUGACACUGAGGCACGAAAGCUAGGGGAGCAAACAGG
rnacentral:rRNA from 1 species